AGGCAAAACACAGGUGUGACUUUCACACAGAGAGUCAUAAAGUGUGUUUAUAAAAGGAUGUAAAUAUUUCUGGGGGAAAAAAACAUUUAGAAAAAAGAAAACAGCUUGAAACCAGUCACUUGGGAGUAAAACAAUACAGAUGUUUUCAACCAAGAAUGAAAAGAAAAAGAUAAUACAGUUUGUAAAAAUGAGAUCACUGGGUCAUUAUGUACUUCUGGUAUUUCAAUCUUCUAUCCAGGCCAGCCUCCUAAAUAAAUAAAAGGAUAGGCUAAUAUUUGCUAUGGGGCCAUUUUGACUGUUAAACCUAUCAAGGAUGCUCUGUGGUUUUUCAGGGAUUAUUUGCUGAGCUGAAGGAAGAAAGGCUGAUCCUUACAAUCCUUCAGUAAACAAAUAUUAGAGUGCUGUUUGAACCAGCAGCGGCGCAGGGACAAAGUUUUAGCUAUGCUCAACCGAUCACACCCAAAGGGAUAUAUUUUGGGACAUGACACCACCCCAGCCAAUCCACGAGUACUGAGCUCUGCAUAAUCUGUAGAUCUGGUCUCUGGUCAACAACAAGGUGUAAUCGUCCAGGCUCCAAGGGACAGCCUGGAUUUCAAACUGAAUACGAUCUACGACCACGGCACGGCCUUAUUCUGGAGCAAGAAUCAAAUGGUGUGCCAGAGAGAAACCAUCAGUAUUGGCAAACGAAGGAAAAGGAAAAACUUGGAGAAGCAGCUCAUGCUACAACAAGAGCAAGAGGAGGGCAUUAGAGUUUGGAUCGACCCGAAGAGGAACACCUACCACUACCUGACAUGACGGGAAAAUAUUGUCAGGCGCUCUGCUUUCUCAACAAUUAGAACUUCAGCUUUGGAGGAGGCUUCAAGAACUACCAACUACUGCUGCUGCUAACCAGGACGUCCUGACAAUAAAACAGUCCUGUCAGUGUUUUUUGUUUUGCCGGUGCAUGAACAAACCAAAAACAGAACAAUGUAGUGUAAUGUAGUAUCAUUUUCAUACUCGAUACUCUAAAUGUUUUUCUUUUGGCUUGAAUAUUAAACAUUCGCCAAGCAGACAAAAGAAGAGAGUUGAAGCUGCUUUUAAUUUGGCAGUGCAGUAAAGAACAAAUUCAGUGUUUUUUUUUUUUUUUUUGGACAAACUUUGAUCAGUCUAUAUCUAUACAACUAAAAGAAUCUGGGCCGGUUUAUCCUAAGAAAACAGAGACGCUUUAAAUACUCAUGACUUAAAAAGAACUUGUAGAUUAAUGCCUGAAUUUCAUAAUAUGUCUAAGAAAAAAAUGGCGAUUACAAUGCAAAACUGAACGUAGUUCAAGGACG